UACGUAGGCAGCGAGCGUUGUUCGGAGUUACUGGGCGUAAAGGGUGUGUAGGCGGUUGUUUAAGUUUGGUGUGAAAUCUCCCGGCUCAACUGGGAGGGUGCGCCGAAUACUGAAUGACUUGGAGUGCGGGAGAGGAGAGUGGAAUUCCGGGUGUAGCGGUGGAAUGCGUAGAGAUCCGGAAGAACACCGGUGGCGAAGGCGGUUAGCUGGGCAGUUGCUGACACUGAGGCGCGACAGCGUGGGGAGCAAACAGG
rnacentral:rRNA from 1 species